rnacentral:rRNA from 1 species
UACCCGCAGCACAAGUGGUGGUCAUUAUUAUUGGGCCUAAAGCGUCCGUAGCUGGCUUGUUAGAUGCCUGGGCAAAUCGAUGCGCUCAACGCAUCGAACUCCGGGUAGACCGGCAAGCUUGGGACCGGGAGAGGCGUGAGCUACUCGAGGGGUAGGGGUAAAAUCCUGUAAUCCUUCGGGGAGGACCAGUGGCGAAGGCGUCACGCUAGAACGGCUCCGACAGUGAGGGACGAAGCCCUGGGGCGCAAACCGG